rnacentral:tRNA from 3 species
GGAGAGAUGGCCGAGCGGUCGAAGGCGCACGCCUGGAAAGUGUGUAUACCUCAAAAGGGUAUCGUGGGUUCGAAUCCCACUCUCUCCGCCA